UACGGAGGGAGCUAGCGUUGCUCGGAAUUAUUGGGCGUAAAGCGCGCGUAGGCGGUUACUUAAGUCGGAUGUGAAAGCCCUCGGCUUAACUGAGGAAGUGCACCCGAAACUGAGUAGCUAGAGUACGAAAGAGGGUCGCGGAAUUCCCGGUGUAGAGGUGAAAUUCGUAGAUAUCGGGAGGAACACCGGUGGCGAAGGCGGCGACCUGGGUCGAGACUGACGCUGAGGCGCGAAAGCGUGGGGAGCAAACAGG
rnacentral:rRNA from 1 species